rnacentral:rRNA from 1 species
UACGAAGGGGGCUAGCGUUGUUCGGAAUUACUGGGCGUAAAGCGCACGUAGGCGGACUACUAAGUCAGGGGUGAAAUCCCGGGGCUCAACCCCGGAACUGCCUUUGAUACUGAUAGUCUCGAGUCCGGAAGAGGUGAGUGGAACUGCGAGUGUAGAGGUGAAAUUCGUAGAUAUUCGCAAGAACACCAGUGGCGAAGGCGGCUCACUGGCCCGGUACUGACGCUGAGGUGCGAAAGCGUGGGGAGCAAACAGG